UCUGCUGCCUGUUGUAAGGUGGAUGGU
rnacentral:piRNA from 1 species